UGCAAACAAUGUGAGUAUGAUUGUCCAAGAUAAUAACGAAUAACACCAAAGUUAUUAAUGUGGAUACAUUGCACAAUAUGCAAUGAAGCGAGGAUAAGUUACUAAUCAACCAUAUUAGCUUAACAUGAAUGAACAACUAUGCACAGCCAGGAUUUGACGAAAUACUAUGCAUGUCAGCGUAACUCAUUUUAGUCUAGCAACAAUGAGAUUUUUCUUUUUAUAGGUACAUUUUAGUUGAACAACAACACGAUCUUUGCUGCACUAUGAUGAGAGUGAGCAUUAUUAUAAUUUGGCCUUCCCAUUCAGGGAGCUGG
rnacentral:misc_RNA from 1 species